CUUGUUACCUAGACUGGAGUGCAAUGGCACGAUCUCGGCUCACCACAACCUCUGCCUUCUGGGUUCAAGCAAUUCUCCUGCCUCAGCCUCCCGAGUAGCUGGGACUACAGGCGCGCACCACCAUGGCCAGCUAAUUUUUGUAUUUUUAGUAGAGACGGGGUUUCACCUUUUUGACCAGGAUGGUCUCGAUAUCUUGACCUGGUGAUCCACCUGCCUCGGCCUCCCAAAGUGCUGGGAUUAUGGGUGUGAGCCACUGUGCCCGGUCUAACCAUUCUCUUUAAUCUCUUCUUCAGAAUAUGUCGCUUCUCUCCCCUUCUCCACCCUGUCUGUGCCCAUGACUGAGCAACUCCCCAGCCCUCAGCCUCCUGUUUGGUUUCACCACAAUAACGGACAUGAGAGGAGUCUUCCUCUGUCACCCAGUCUGGAGUGUGCAGUGGUGUGAUCUCGGCUCACUGCAACCUCAACGUCCUGGAUUCAAGCGAUUCUCCUGCCUCAGCCUUCAAAGUGGCUAAGACUACAGGCACAUGCCACCAUGUCCAGGUAAUAUUUUGCAAUUUUAUAGAGACGGGGUUUCACCACGUUAGCCAGACG
rnacentral:lncRNA from 1 species